rnacentral:rRNA from 1 species
AGCGAACGCUGGCGGCAGGCCUAAUACAUGCAAGUCGAACGGAUCCUUCGGGAUUAGUGGCGGACGGGUGAGUAACACGUGGGAACGUGCCCUUUGGUUCGGAACAACUCAGGGAAACUUGAGCUAAUACCGGAUAAGCCCUUCGGGGAAGAUUAUCGCCAUUGGAGCGGCCCGCGUCUGAUUAGCUAGUUGGUGGGUAAGGCUACCAAGGCGACGAUCAGUAGGCUGGUCUGAGAGGAUGAUCAGCCACAC